rnacentral:rRNA from 1 species
AUUGAACGCUGGCGGCAUGCUUUACACAUGCAAGUCGAACGGUAACAGGCCGCAAGGUGCUGACGAGUGGCGAACGGGUGAGUAAUGCAUCGGAACGUGCCCAGUCGUGGGGGAUAACGCAGCGAAAGCUGCGCUAAUACCGCAUACGAUCUAUGGAUGAAAGCGGGGGACCGUAAGGCCUCGCGCGAUUGGAGCGGCCGAUGUCAGAUUAGGUAGUUGGUGGGGUAAAGGCUCACCCAGCCGACGAUCUGUAGCUGGUCUGAGAGGACGACCAGCCACACUGGGACUGAGACACGGCCCAGACUCCUACGGGAGGCAGCAGUGGGGAAUUUUGGACAAUGGGGGCAACCCUGAUCCAGCAAUGCCGCGUGCAGGAAGAAGGCCUUCGGGUUGUAAACUGCUUUUGUACGGAACGAAACGGCUCUGGUUAAUACCCGGGGCUAAUGACGGUACCGUAAGAAUAAGCACCGGCUAACUACGUGCCAGCCGCCGCGGUAAGAC